rnacentral:rRNA from 1 species
AGGAAUAUUGGUCAAUGGACGAGAGUCUGAACCAGCCAAGUAGCGUGAAGGAUGACUGCCCUAUGGGUUGUAAACUUCUUUUAUACGGGAAUAAAGUGAGGCACGUGUGCCUUUUUGUAUGUACCGUAUGAAUAAGGAUCGGCUAACUCCGUGCCAGCAGCCGCGGUAAUACGGAGGAUCCGAGCGUUAUCCGGAUUUAUUGGGUUUAAAGGGAGCGUAGGUGGACAGUUAAGUCAGUUGUGAAAGUUUGCGGCUCAACCGUAAAAUUGCAGUUGAUACUGGCUGUCUUGAGUACAGUAGAGGUGGGCGGAAUUCGUGGUGUAGCGGUGAAAUGCUUAGAUAUCACGAAGAACUCCGAUUGCGAAGGCAGCUCACUGGACUGCAACUGACACUGAUGCUCGAAAGUGUGGGUAUCAAACAGGAUUAGAUACCCUGGUAGUCCACACAGUAAACGAUGAAUACUCGCUGUUUGCGAUAUACAGUAAGCGGCCAAGCGAAAGCAUUAAGUAUUCCACCUGGGGAGUACGCCGGCAACGGUGAAACUCAAAGGAAUUGACGGGGGCCCGCACAAGCGGAGGAACAUGUGGUUUAAUUCGAUGAUACGCGAGGAACCUUACCCGGGCUUGAAUUGCAACUGAAUGAUGUGGAGACAUGUCAGCCGCAAGGCAGUUGUGAAGGUGCUGCAUGGUUGUCGUCAGCUCGUGCCGUGAGGUGUCGGCUUAAGUGCCAUAACGAGCGCAACCCUUAUCGAUAGUUACCAUCAGGUUAUGCUGGGGACUCUGUCGAGACUGCCGUCGUAAGAUGUGAGGAAGGUGGGGAUGACGUCAAAUCAGCACGGCCCUUACGUCCGGGGCUACACACGUGUUACAAUGGGGGGUACAGAAGGCAGCUACACGGGGACGUGAUGCUAAUCCCUAAAGCCUCUCUCAGUUCGGAUUGGAGUCUGCAACCCGACUCCAUGAAGCUGGAUUCGCUAGUAAUCGCGCAUCAGCCACGGCGCGGUGAAUACGUUCCCG